CAGCUGUUGGAAAACGAAGAAGAAGCAGAGGAGGAAGAAUAAAUACGUGUAUUUUUAAUCUGUUUGUAGCAACAUGUGAGAGAUGUUCCCGAUUUACCGAGUUUGACAUGAGCCACCUUGAUAGAAAAGUGAAGAACAAACUCCAGGUGCAGCAGCUGAAGUCUGUGACUGUUAAAGAUGGAGUUUAUUAAAGAGGAGAUUGAAGACAUGAGUGAUUCAGAACCAUCCAGAAUCAUCCAGAAUAAAACAUGAAGAUACUGAGGAACAAACAGACCAGAUGGAACCCGAAGAACCGAACAAAGAGGAGAAACGUGACUCCAGCACUCAGAAAACACAAACUGAACACACCUGCUCACAGUGUGAAAAGAGUUUCAAGCGCAAAGAAUACCUUAAAAAGCACAUGUUAGUCCACGCUGGAGAGCAACAGUACACAUGCACUCAGUGUGGAAAGAGUUAUUCACGACCGGACACUUAUAAACGGCAUCAGAGAACACACAAUAAAGAGAAACCGAAGAAAAAAAACACAGGCAGUAUUAAAAAUCACCUGCACGUGCACGCUAAAAGAAAGUCGUAUAACUGUGAUCAGUGUGGAAAAGAUUUAAACUCAUUGUCAGGUCGCAGUCGACACAUGAAGUUGCAUAGAAAUGAGAAGCCUUAUUCCUGCGCUUACUGUGGAAAGAGUUUUAGACAGCAUGGUCAUUGUAAACAACACCAGAUUAUA